rnacentral:rRNA from 1 species
AUGAUGUUUAUUAAAUGGCUGCAGUAUAUUUGACUGUACAAAGGAAGCAUAAUCAAUUGAUUUUUGAAUGGAAUCUGGAAUGAAAUGAUUAAUGAAAUAUAUACUGUCUCAUACAUAUAAUAUGAAUUUAAAAUUUUUAUAAAAAUUAAAAAUUUGUUAAAACUUUUUUGUGGGACGAUAAGACCCUAUAGAAUUUUAUAUAAAAUAAAUUUUAUAUUAAUAUAAAAUUUAUUUUAUAUUUAAUUGGGAGAAUUAUUAAAUUUAAAAAAUUUUAAUUUUUAUA